UGUGGCUGUCGUAAAAACCCUAUUUGUAAACAACCAGCCCUUUAACUCGGGGCUGCGUCAUAAACACGGUGCGCUUGGAAGACCACGAUGUCAUCUUCCUUCUGUCAGGAGGAUCCAAGUGAAGCUACAGGAGUUUCAUUAACGUCAACAACUUGGACCAAACAGUUUGUUUUGCUUGAUGAAGAGCAGGAAGGGCAGCCUGGAGAGAAAGAGAAGCCGGGUUGAGCCCACUACCAUCAUCCAUGUACCACGAGGAAGAUGAGGGAGAGAAAUGAUCCUACCAUUAAAGAGACUGUGAAAAGAACGUUGAGAACAUCACCACUCUACAGGAAGACACAGUCCAGUAAUGGGUGUCAGAAGUUCAGUAGUGAACGACAGGUACUGUGGAAAAAUAUGUGUCAUUGUUGUACAAUGUCCUUUGACUCUGUUUAAACAAGGUUAACACAAAAAGGUUUGAUUGUAAACUGAUAUCGGUAUGAAUUCAUGUUAUUCUCCUCGUCAAAAGAAACAAACAAUCCAAAUUACCUGCAGAAAGCCCUUGAUGGACGCUUCAGCUGCAUCGUCAGACUGGCAGUACUGAUGCAUUUACUGAGAGGGGACGUGAGGGCCUACUCUGCGUGCUCAGAGUUCAAGCCCAGCAGGCUGCAGCGGGCCUGACAUAUUCUGGAACAGCAGCACAGUCUUUGGAUGACUCCUCUGAAGAUGAAAACAUGGCGAGUUCUUCUCAAGAGAAGCAGUACAGGUGUGCCUCAGCUCCACGGUCCCUCCUGCAGCCUCCGCUCCUGAUGCUAACCUCAUGUCUCCAUCACACCAAGCAGCAGACCUGGAUUGACAGACCUUUCUCCAGAGCUGCCCCCUCCCUCUGAAACCCCCCUCUCCAAAACACUAUUUGUGUAGUUUUUAAAGUAUUUUUUGCAUGAGAAUUGUUGAUCAUAACAUUUCCAGCAGAUGCCUUAAUAUAAUGUUUGUGCACAAUAAAUGACAUUGAUCAUAACAUAA